CCAGACUCCUACGGGAGGCAGCAGUGAGGAAUAUUGGUCAAUGGGCGAGAGCCUGAACCAGCCAAGUCGCGUGAAGGAUGACGGCCCUACGGGUUGUAAACUUCUUUUGUCAGGGAGCAAUUGAGUCCACGUGUGGGCUUAGCGAGAGUACCUGAAGAAAAAGCAUCGGCUAACUCCGUGCCAGCAGCCGCGGUAAUACGGAGGAUGCGAGCGUUAUCCGGAUUUAUUGGUUUUAAAGGGUGCGUAGGCGGUUUUUCAAGCAAGCGGAAAAAUUUCGGGGCCCAACCCGUCCCCGCCGUUGAAACUGGCGAACUCGAGAGGGAGAGAAGUAGGCGGAAUGCGCAGUGUAGCGGUGAAAUGCAUAGAUAUUGCGCAGAACUCCGAUUGCGAAGGCAGCCUACCGGCUCCUGUCUGACGCUGAGGCACGAAAGCGUGGGUAUCGAACAGGAUUAGAUACCCUAGUAA
rnacentral:rRNA from 1 species